AGGGAAUCUUCGGCAAUGGGGGGAACCCUGACCGAGCAACGCCGCGUGAGUGAAGAAGGUUUUCGGAUCGUAAAGCUCUGUUGUUAAGGAAGAACGAGUGUGAGAAUGGAAAGUUCAUACUGUGACGGUACUUAACCAGAAAGGGACGGCUAACUACGUGCCAGCAGCCGCGGUAAUACGUAGGUCCCGAGCGUUGUCCGGAUUUAUUGGGCGUAAAGCGAGCGCAGGCGGUUAGAUAAGUCUGAAGUUAAAGGCAGUGGCUCAACCAUUGUAGGCUUUGGAAACUGUUUAACUUGAGUGCAGAAGGGGAGAGUGGAAUUCCAUGUGUAGCGGUGAAAUGCGUAGAUAUAUGGAGGAACACCGGUGGCGAAAGCGGCUCUCUGGUCUGUAACUGACGCUGAGGCUCGAAAGCGUGGGGAGCGAACAGGAUUAGAUACCCUGGUAGUCCACGCCGUAAACGAUGAGUGCUAGGUGUUAGGUCCUUUCCGGGACUUAGUGCCGCAGCUAACGCAUUAAGCACUCCGCCUGGGGAGUACGACCGCAAGGUUG
rnacentral:rRNA from 1 species